rnacentral:rRNA from 1 species
CCUACGGGUGGCAGCAGUGGGGAAUAUUGGACAAUGGGCGAAAGCCUGAUCCAGCCAUGCCGCGUGUGUGAAGAAGGCCUUCGGGUUGUAAAGCACUUUCAGUGGGGAAGAAAGCCUUGGGGCUAAUACCCUCGAGGAAGGACAUCACCCACAGAAGAAGCACCGGCUAACUCCGUGCCAGCAGCCGCGGUAAUACGGAGGGUGCGAGCGUUAAUCGGAAUUACUGGGCGUAAAGCGCGCGUAGGCGGUCUGAUAAGCCGGUUGUGAAAGCCCCGGGCUCAACCUGGGAACGGCAUCCGGAACUGUCAGGCUAGAGUGCAGUAGAGGAAGGUAGAAUUCCCGGUGUAGCGGUGAAAUGCGUAGAGAUCGGGAGGAAUACCAGUGGCGAAGGCGGCCUUCUGGACUGACACUGACGCUGAGGUGCGAAAGCGUGGGUAGCAAACAGGAUUAGAUACCCUUGUAGUC